rnacentral:rRNA from 1 species
GCACGCAGGCGGUCGGCCAAGUUCGGAGUGACAGUUUCCGGCUUAACUGGAAAAGGUCUUCGAAAACUGGUGGACUUGAGGACUUGAGGGGGAGACGGAAUUCCGGGUGGAGCGGUGAAAUGCGUAGAGAUCCGGAGGAACACCGAAGGCGAAGGCAGUCUCCUGGCAAGUUCCUGACGCUCAUGUGCGAAAGCUAGGGGAGCGAACAGGAUUAGAUACCCUGGUAGUCCUAGCCGUAAACGAUGACCACUAGGCGUGGGAGGUAUCGACCCCUUCCGUGCCGCAGCAUACGCAUUAAGUGGUCCGCCUGGGGAGUACGGUCGCAAGAUUAAAACUCAAAGGAAUUGACGGGGACCCGCACAAGCAGCGGAGCGUGUGGUUUAAUUCGAUGCAACGCGAAGAACCUUACCAGGACUUGACAUGCAACUGCACCACCCGUUAUGGGGUGUCCGAGCAAUCGGCGAUUGCACAGGUGCUGCAUGGCUGUCGUCAGCUCGUGUCGUGAGAUGUUGGGUUCAGUCCCGCAACGAGCGCAACCCCUGCCGCUAGUUGAAUGGUCUAGCGGGACCGCCGCGAUCAACGCGGAGGAAGGCGGGGAUGACGUCAAGUCAGCACGGCCCUUACGUCCUGGGCGACACACACGCUACAAUGGUCGGUACAACGGGCAGCCAACCCGCGAGGGGGAGCCAAUCCCAUCAAAGCCGGCCUCAGUUCAGAUUGCAGGCUGCAACCCGCCUGCAUGAAGGAGGAGUUGCUAGUAACCGUGGGUCAGCACACCACGGUGAAUACGUUCCCGGGUCUUGUACACACCGCCCGUCACACCACGAAAGUCGGCAACACCUGAAGCCGCUAAGCCAACCAUCUUGGGGGCAGGCGUC